rfam:Salmo salar isolate Sally breed double haploid chromosome ssa21, whole genome shotgun sequence.
UAGCUCAGUUGGUAGAGCAGGGUGUUUGCAACGCCAGGGUUGUGGGUUCGAUUCCCAC